GGUGUGUAUGAGUAAGGUCUGUGACCAGUUCAUAUCUGGUCCAGAAAUACAGGACAUGGUGUCAGGAGUAAACUAAGAACAGAAACAGAAGGAAAAUUCCAAGAAAGUUUGCAGACAGGAGGAAUAAAACAACAAAUGUUGCAGGAUCUCCUCCUCAUGCCACUUUUCAAUAUCCCAGAGAUCUUCAGCGUUGAGAAAUACUCAGAAUGGACAGACUGGAAACAAGAUUUUGCAUUGCCACCAAGUUCCACAAAGAAACUUGAGCUAUACAGGUAUCUUCUUUAAUUUAUGCUACGGGGAAGCAAGCAGAGCACAUCUUUAAAUCCUUUGACUUUACUGAAGAUAGUCACAAAGAUGGCUAGGAAAGGGUUCUGCCUAUGUUUGAUGCAUACUUCAUACUUCAGAGAAAUGUGGUUUAUGAAAGAGCAUGUUUUCACCAGAGAAUCCAAGAACUAGAGGAAAAUGUUGAAUGUUUUAUAAAAGCUCUGCAUACAUUGGCUGAAAAUUAUGAUUUGGGGGAAUGCAAAACAUGAGAAUAUCAGAAACAGGCUGGUUAUUGGUGAACAGGUAAAACCUUUGCACAGCAGCUAUCAUUGAAGACAGAUUCAGACUAUGUCUGCACUGGCAAUUGAACGACAAAACUUUUGCCUAUCAGAGGUGCUAACCACCCCACCCCCCAAAAAAGGCAAAAUUUUUGCCGCGACAACUGCUGGUAUGAACAGCGCGUUGUCAGCAGGAGCGCUCUCCUGCCGACAACACAAAAGCCACUCAUUCGGGGUGGAAAAUUUUGUCAGCAGGAGAGCUGACAAACAGCAGCUACACUGCGCGACUUUUAGCGGCACGGCUGUAGUGGCACAGCUAGGUCACUAAAAGCUGUGUAGUGUAGAUAUAACCUUAAUCUUAGCCACAGCUAUACAGGAAGCAAAGCAGCCUGAGCUGGUGACUCAGCAAAACCUAGAGCAACUUGAAAAACCUGAAAGUAGCUUAGAAACUGUAAGCAGACACUUGAGUGUUACAAGUCAUUAUCGUUAAACCCGGAGGCAAGGAGAGAGAACUCCCAGGCUAAGAGAGACAAAUUCCAGCCUAUAUGCACAAGGGGUGGAAAAAGUCAUAAUCGAAGAGAUGAUAUGUGUCCAGCCAGAGGCACACGAUGUAAUAAUUGCAUGAAAUAUGGACAUUUUGCAACUGUUGACUGCACCAAAGCAGUCAGGGAAUUGACUCGUGUUAUAGAGCCAUUGUUCCCGGGAUCUAUCACUUGUGAUGACCUAGAGCCUGCCUGAAGAGAGAAAGCAAAGAUUCAUGAUCAGGCUAGAGACUCAGGAGCUGACAUCACAGUCAUCUCCGAAGGGACAAUCACCAUCAGCCCCUCCCACACCUGACACAGCUCUCACUAGCCCUGGAGAGAUUCUGAACUGAACCAAAGAAACAAUUUACAAAGGCAAAAGCUUUGGAUUCAGAGCAGAUGGGAUCAAAAGAUGGCCAACAACUUCUCAGUCACAUUGUGUCAGUCAUCAUGGGCCUAGCGAGACUGGUGUAAGAACUCAAUGGCGUACUUAAUGUAAAUAUAGUACAGUACAAAUCAACUUAAGAGAUCACAUUGAACCAUACAGUGUAGAAACACGUCCACCAGGUAGACCUUGGAAGAGACUAGGUGCAGAUUGAUGCAAAUUCACAAGACAUCAUUUCCUCGUUGUCGUGGAUUAUUUUUUCAGGUUUAUAGAAAUAAUGUACUUGAAAGACAUAACAUAUCACAGUGUUACUGAGAACCGAAGUGCACUUGUGCUUAUUUCAGUGUUCCAGAACAACCAGUGACAGACAACAGGCCACAAUUCACUGCAGCAGAAUUUGUCAUUCUGAUGAAAUAGCAGCUGACAUUACCCACAAACGAAUGGAGAGGCUGAGAGUGCUGUACAGACAGCCAAAAAAAUUCUACAGCAGGAAGAUCCAUUAGUUGCUUUUCUGAGUUACAGAUCAACACCAACAGUAGGUGCUGGACUAAAUCUAGCACCUACAACUCCUGAUGGGAAGACAAUUCAGAACUACUGUUCCAACUUUAGAAAAGAACCGAUUUCCAAAGUGGUCACACAUUAAGAGAGUAGCCAAAUCAGAUAAAAAAGCUAAAAGGGCUUAGGAACGCAUUUACCGUAGAUGUCACUCAGCUAGAGAACUGCUGGGAAUAGAACCUGGUGACCAUAUUUGCAUCAAACUGGAUGGAGAAAAAGGAUGGACACCUCCAGCUAUUGUAAAGAAAUAGAAUCAGUGCUCAGAUCAUAUGUUUAUAUAUGAUCAAGACCAACAGUGGAGAGUUUAACAGAAGCUGUCAACAUCUACACUUUGUUCCUCUGAAAGAACAAUCAAUGGAGCAGACUUUACAGAUGGCAGAUGCAGAAUGAGAAAACUCAAGGGUUCUAAACCAACUGCAGCCAGUCAUGCAAUUAACGGACAGACGCAUGACCAAGUUAUUACAUGUUAGAGCCAUGUAAUUAGGAAACCAGUAUAAUUCCACAUUUAACAGACUGAUACCAACUGAACUUCAUAGACAGUGUGAGAGUAUAAAUGUAUUGAAAAUGGUAGGAAUAUAGAACUUAAACGGGAGAAGGAACAGAAUGUUAAACUGCAUUAUAUUGUUCAGCCAUAAGGUGGCACUGUGUGCAAAAUACCUUAUUUGAGCUAACCUCAGCCAUACUUGCAGAGUAUUAAAGAAUCUUAUGAGUAACCAAGCUGGUGUGUGUAAGCAAGCUGUGUGACCAGUCCAGCUCUGGUGCAGAAGUACAUGCCAAAGAGUGAAUGGGACUUACCUACUUCGUCUCCUGCACCCAUCUGUAGCAUUGCUGGCAGCAGGUCCAGAGCAAGGCGGAAACUAUUACUAAAUGCUGUGUGUUUGUUUUCCAUUUACACCUAGUCAGCAAAGCUGGCUUGUCUAAAGUUUAGCAGCUGGGAAUAAGGAGGAGGUGUCAGCACCACGUAACGAGUCAGCUCUCAGUAAGCGACCAGCAAGAAACUCUGCCCUAGAGGGUCCAACUCGCCAUUCCUUACUGAUGUAAAGAGAAGCAUCAAUAGUUACGAUGGAUGGCAGCCUUUGCCUUUGAAUCUAGGAGGAGACUCAAAUCAAUUGGAGGGGGAGCAUCACAUUUUCCAUGAAGAACAGGUACAGCAAGAGCAACAGAGCUGCAGGCUUCUCCCAUGCUGUCCACCGUCAGUGUGCCCCAACACUGCUCUAGUGGGACCCUUCUUCAGGGAAAUAUUGUGCUGGGGUCUCCAUGUCCAUCUAGUCGCUGGUCUCAUUGCUGAGACAGGUGGACAGCAUUACUAAUUACUGCCAAUGAUGUGUUGCGGACACUAGAAACUGGACUGAAACCACCAAGGUUUCAUCUCACGAAGGAGUCUGCAAGCAAGAGGAUGCAUGUCCAUAAAGAAUCAUAUGCAUAAAGGUCCCUUGGUGUGCAAACUUUACAAGAGCUGACAUGAAUGUGUAUCUGAGUUAGAGACCUGUCAGUCAAGCUUUCAGCUGCUAUGUAAUGGGGUGGACAGGCUGAGGCUUUCUUCCAGUUAAGCGAACUGGAAUGCACAUACUGGUGUGUUAACCAUUAGUGGGAUCUCUGUCUGAAGAAACCAGUGAAGACAUCACCCAGGAGUAUUGUGACAGGCUAUUUAAUCUGACAGAGAACAAGAAGCUCAUCCUCGUGACAGGCACUUACUCAAACUGCACCAAUUCAGGACAUUUAGGGGCUUUUGCUAACAAAAGUCACUGCUCCCUUUGCAUUUCCAAUACUGUCAUGACUGAGAUGAUGCUCCACGGGCAUGAGGGACACUAACCAGCGCCUUUGGCUCUACUGCUGCCUAGAAGACUGUACAAAAGUUUUGAGGGUGGUAAACUGGUAUGGAGGGAGUCCUUUCUAUGGGUUAGGCUGGCAAACAGAAGAACUCCUGGGUUCUGUCCCUGGCUUUAACAUUAAUGCUCAUUUUACUUUUGGCUGCCUGAGUUUCUCCAUCUGUAGAUUGGGGAUGAGAACAUUUAGAUACCUCAGAAGGUCUUGUGAAACUUAAUCAAUGUUGAUAACGUGCCUUGGAUAAAAGGAGUUGGAAACAAUCAUUAUUUAUUUUUUUUAUUUUAUUUUUUUUAUUACACCCUCUUCAACAUACAGAAAUAUCACAGUGUAUCUCCUCUCUUUGUCCAGCAGCAUGCCCCAGAAAGGGGUGGUCUUUUUGCAGGCCAUUCCUGGAGAAACCUUUGCCAGAGGCAUGGUGAUCAAGAAUGCCCGUUUCUAUCAGUAGACCGGGCCCAACAGGAAUGAAGGAAACUACGUCCAUUCUGCAUACCACUUGAGCUGACCAUUAUUGUUAUUAUUUAUAUUUCUUCUGGAGACCCGGAACAAGGAUCAGGGCCCUAUUGUGCUAGGCGCUGUACAAAUGAGUACUCAAAAGAUUGUUCCUACCCCAGAGAGCAAGAACAAGGGAGUGAGGGAGCUUUUACUGAGACAGAUGAGUAGAAAUAUUUAUAAGAACUCUUGACAUCAGAGUGCUGCAGCAGUGAAUUAUUUUAGAACUCACUACCUCAAGGGGUUUGGACUUCCUUGCCUUGCAGUCAGCUAAAGAUGCUGAUGUGAAUUUGGUAGGAAUUAAACAUAUUCUCUCAACUACUGACAUUUCACUUGAACUGCCUUAAGUAGGAUUUCUUCUCCCCCACCCCACCCCAACUUCCUCAGGCUGCAUGAUUUGUGAUGGAACAGGAAAAAAACCAGCAGAAGGUUCCAAUCAAACUUGCUAACGUAGCUGUCAGUUGGCUGUCGCCCUGGCAAAAGCUUUGUUGAUGCAUAUUGAAAUGUCUCCGUGAGUGAUCAAAAGUUUUCCUGUAUUGCCAUGGAAAUAAAAAGGAAGCUGGAUUUCAAUAAGACAGAAUCUUGCAUCUCUUUGUCUGAUUGUCAUCAUCAUGAUGACACAGUAUUAACAUUCUCCACUGAAAAUGAAUGACACAUUUCCAGCACUAUCCUGUCUAGCGCCUGAGGUAGAAAGGCAUGAACUAUUCCCUUAGCCCUGCACCUCUUCACUUGCAUAAAGCUUGAAUAAUGAGCUUGGGUACCACAGUGUUGCCAACUCUCACAAGUUUCCCAAGAUAUCUAGUGGUUUUCGUGCAUCCCCACCUCUUGUAGUUACAUUAUUUUGUGAGAAUGUCAAUCUUCAUUUAAAAAUAAAAUACAUUUCCAGCCUUUUGUGGUUGCAGA